CCUACGGGGGGCUGCAGUGGGGAAUCUUGCACAAUGGGGGAAACCCUGAUGCAGCGACGCCGCGUGAGCGAUGAAGCCCCUCGGGGUGUAAAGCUCUUUCGACAGGAACGAUUAUGACUGUACCUGGAGAAGAAGCUGCGGCUAACUACGUGCCAGCAGCCGCGGUAAUACGUAGGCAGCAAACGUUGUUCGGAAGUAUUGGGCGUAAAGAGUGUGUAGGCGGUUGCGUGUGUCUGGUGUGAAAUCUCCUGGCUCAACUGGGAGGGUGCGCCGGAAACUGCGCGGCUUGAGUACUGGAGAGGAUGGCGGAAUACCUGGUGUAGCGGUGAAAUGCGUAGAUAUCAGGAGGAACACCUGUGGUGUAGACGGCUAUCUGGACAGUCACUGACGCUGAGACACGAAAGCGUGGGGAGCAAACAGGAUUAGAUACCCGGGUAGUC
rnacentral:rRNA from 1 species